UCUUUGCCUGCAUUCCUCUCACAGUCCUUCCUGUACCUGCUGCAGUUCUUACCCUUGGGGGAGGUUAUCUGCUCGGGCUGCCUCUGGGGUUUAUUACUUAUUCAAUUGGUUCUACGUUAGGCGCUACGGUUGCUUUCAUUUUUGGCAGAACAAUUGGAAGACCAUAUGUAAUCUCCAAGCUAAGGAAUUACUCGCAGUUCCAAGCAGUUGCUAUUGCAAGUGAGAGAUCUGGGUUCAAGGCAUGUGUUCUUGGUCUUUUCUUAG